AGAGGAAUGGCAGAGCGGCUUAAUGCGGCGGCCCCCAAGACAGGGGAGUUUCAAUCCCCGAUGUCUUUGCCGAAACGAAGCAAGGGGCCGCGCGGCGCGAAUCGCGCCGCCAUGGGUCCGAAUCCCAUUUCCUCGA
rnacentral:tRNA from 1 species